rnacentral:rRNA from 1 species
GACGAACGCUGGCGGCGUGCUUAACACAUGCAAGUCGAACGGAAAGGCCCUGCUCUUGUGGGGCGCUCGAGUGGCGAACGGGUGAGUAACACGCGAGUAUCCUGUCCCUGACUUUGGGAUAACUCCAGGAAACUGGGGCUAUUAUCGGAUAGGAGCUCCUGCUGCAUGGUGGGGGUUGGAAAGUUUCGGUGGUUGGGGCUGGAAUCGCGGCUUAUCAGCUUGUUGGUGGGGUAGUGGCUUACCAAGGCUUCGACGGGUAGCCGGCCUGAGAGGGUGACCGGCCACAUUGGGACUGAGAUAGGGCCCAGUCUCCUACGGGAGGCAACAGUGGGGAGUGUGACACAGUAAGCGGGAGCCAGAUGCAGCAACGCCGCGUGCGGGAUAACGGCCUUCUGGUUGUAAACCGCUUUCGCCUGUGACGAAGCGUGAGUGACGGUAAUGAGUAAAGAAGCACCGGCUAACUACGUG